rnacentral:rRNA from 1 species
GUUUUUAGCAAUAAGAACUUCUAGUGGCAAACGGGUGAGUAACACGUAGGGAUCUACCUUGAAGUGGGGAAUAACGGACCGAAAGGUUCGCUAAUACCGCAUGUGCUCGAGAGAGCAAAGGAUUCAGCAAUGGAUUCGCUUUAAGAGGAGCCUGCGUUCGAUCAGGUAGUUGGUGAGGUAACGGCUCACCAAGCCGAUGACCGAUAGCUGUUCUGAGAGGAAGAUCAGCCACACUGGGACUGUGACACGGCCCAGACUCCUACGGGAGGCAGCAGCGAGGAAUAUUGCACAAUGGACGCAAGUCUGAUGCAGUAACGCCGCGUGGGGGAAGAAGACCUUCGGG